GGCGAGGUGAGCGAAGAGGUUGUCGAUGGGGCCGGUGCCGGUGUACUCGGCCUGGAACCACGCGCCCAUGACGGCGAGCAUGGCCAGGCGGCCGUUCUUGAUCUCCUUGGUGCGCAGCUCCUUGAGCUUCUCGGGCGAGCCGGUGCCGUAGCCGAGCGGGUCAAACCACAGACCACCGGGGUACCUUAUGUUUCCAACACGCAAAGACAUCACCUGAUUAGCCCCCACAAUAGCACAAGGAGAGACAAGCACGUAUCAAGUUCGCUUGUUGACGUAUGUGUGUGCGACUGUGCGUACCCGACGUCGGUGCCGGUGAGCUUGUUGUUGGGGAAGAUGGGGUCGGUGUUGACGCAGCCUGGCUUGAUGAUGUCUGCCCACCGGCGGCCCUCGGCCCAGCCGAUGAGGAUGAGCUCCACGAUGAAGAGGGUGGUGGUGUCGGUGAAGUACUCCUGCUCCCCGGCGGUGUACCACGACGGCGUGUUGAGGAUGCCGAUCUUGGUCAGCAGCUCUGGGAUGAAGAUGCCCGCCGCGCCCAGCAUCGCCCACCGGCAGUGCACCAGCUCCGCCUGCACGUUCCACCGCAAGCUCUCCGG
rnacentral:lncRNA from 1 species